UCCCAUUGGUUGAUUUGACUGGCACAAUGGCGGGCACCGGACAGGUCGUGCCAGGCUGCACUGUGUGAUAGUGAACAGGUGACGGACAUUAAGUUUAUCCACAUUACAGUAAUUAAUGGUGAAUCCUGUGGAUCUCUUUCAACACUGUUCGAUAUUGCGCUUCAUCCUUUGAGCAAAAACUUGAAGUAAACCGUGGGAAGGAAAGCGCCUGAUAUCUUGAGACGGAAAAUAGGCCUAUUAAAAAAGAUAAUUUAACCUGAAGUGGUUCAAGAGGAAACUUUGCAAUAAAGCCCUGUUACCUGUUAUUUUUCGAAGAGGAAACUGUCUGGACUACAUAUGAAUUUAAGGAACUAAAACAUCGUCCAGAAAGGCUGGUUAAACAGGACAAGCAAAUCACAUGUCGCUGUUGCAGGUGAAACCGGCAGCUGGCUGAAGAUUACAACCACUUUUGAUCCUUUCUUCAGGUGCUCUUCAGUUGAAUGCUAAUGGAAAGUACCAUUUCUGCCACAGUGUCAACAGGCAGAGGUGGAAUAUGCAAGAACUCCUUCCAGAUGGACUUAACGUGAUGUGAAGGAUUUUUUGACCAAUCAGGAUCAAGUAUUCAACACAGCCAGACCUAUAGAAGUGUCCCUGUUCAUAAUUUGUCCUUCCUGUAGAGUGAUGACAGGAGCGUUUUUCAAAAUGCAGACAGGAACACAAAAACACAACAGAACACUCAGACAGGCAUCAUCACAAUUUGAAUAUUUUCAGUGAAUAUUUUGAGAACUGUCUAAAUGUGUCUGUGUUUGAAUGCUGCAUAUAUCAAGUCUGUCAUUGA